UACGUAGGGUCCGAGCGUUGUCCGGAAUUAUUGGGCGUAAAGGGCUCGUAGGCGGUUCGUCACGUCGGGAGUGAAAACUCGGGGCUUAACCCCGAGCCUGCUUCCGAUACGGGCAGACUAGAGGCAGGCAGGGGGAGAGCGGAACUCCUGGUGUAGCGGUGGAAUGCGCAGAUAUCAGGAAGAACACCGGUGGCGAAGGCGGCUCUCUGGGCCUUACCUGACGCUGAGGAGCGAAAGCGUGGGUAGCGAACAGG
rnacentral:rRNA from 1 species